UCCUAGUUUCCCAGGCAGUCCCAUUAGAGUGCCUUAUCCGAAGAUAAGUAGCAACUAAUGGCAGGGGUUGCGCUCGUUAAAGGACUUAACCCAACAUCUCACGACACGAGCUGACGACAGCCAUGCAGCACCUGUGCAAUUGUUCGAGCCGAAGCCCGAAAGAUCAUAUUUCUAUGACUGUCAAAGGCAUGUCAAACCCAGGUAAGGUUCCUCGCGUAGUGUCGAAUUAAACCACAUGUUCCACCGCUUGUGCGGACCCCCGUCAAUUCCUUUGAGUUUUAGUCUUGCGACCGUAAUCCCCAGGUGAAUCACUUAACGCGUUAGCUUCGACACCGAUCCGGCUAUGCCGAACCGACGUCUAGUGAUCAUCGUUUACAGCGUGGACUAC
rnacentral:misc_RNA from 1 species